CAGGCCUAACACAUGCAAGUCGAGCGGAUGAGUGGAGCUUGCUCCAUGAUUCAGCGGCGGACGGGUGAGUAAUGCCUAGGAAUCUGCCUGGUAGUGGGGGACAGCGUUUCGAAAGGAACGCUAAUACCGCAUACGUCCUACGGGAGAAAGUGGGGGAUCUUCGGACCUCACGCUAUCAGAUGAGCUUAGGUCGGAUUAGCUAGUUGGUGAGGUAAAGGCUCACCAAGGCGACGAUCCGUAACUGGUCUGAGAGGAUGAUCAGUCACACUGGAACUGAGACACGGUCCAGACUCCUACGGGAGGCAGCAGUGGGGAAUAUUGGACAAUGGGCGAAAGCCUGAUCUCAGCCAUGCCGCGUGUGUGAAGAAGGUCUUCGGAUUGUAAAGCACUUUAAGUUGGGAGGAAGGGCAGUAAGUUAAUACCUUGCUGUUUUGACGUUACCAACAGAAUAAGCACCGGCUAACUUCGUGCCAGCAGCCGCGGUAAU
rnacentral:rRNA from 1 species